rfam:Picea glauca, whole genome shotgun sequence.
UUCUUUGAUGGUACCCUACUACUCAGAUAACUGUAAUAAUUCUAGAGCUAAUACAUGCACCAAGUCUCGACACUUUGAAAGGGAUGCAUUUAUUAGAUAAAAGGCCAGCGCGAGCUUGCCCGUUUCUCCGGUGAAUCAUGAUAACUCAACAGAUCGCACAACCCUUGUGCUGGCAAUGCUUCAUUCA